rnacentral:sRNA from 1 species
UCCAAACUCGGGGCUGGAUUCUGAGAAUUAGGACCAGAGGAGGAAUUAAGUGACAAUUUUUGGGGUUGAUUUUUUGAAGUGACCUGGUGUGCUGUAAAUAUUGCAUUGUCGUUUAGAAAACAAAAAAGAAUGUUGACAACGAAUCAAAAACAAUGAUGAACAGAUGUUUGGUUUUUUUUUCUGUGUUCAAACUAACAGACAAACGGUUAGACGAUGUACUUAAUGCUCACUAUACGACACCAGCUGCUGAAGGGUUGAACUUGUGUAAAUAUUGUUAAUCAUGAUGAUCUCAUUUUUUCCCCUUUCUUAAGGCCAGUGUAUUCUUGUGGUGACCUAGGGGUGGGGGAGGGGUAGGGGGUGUGAAAAGUGAAAAUUAAAAUUGCUCGAUAUUUGUACUUAACUCAAGCAUUAUGAUUUAAAAGAAAGCAAAAAAGACAUGGUUUGGGUAGUACCGGGUAAUGAAUUGAACUCUUUGAAUAUGUGCUGGUAGUAAUUUAUGUGUAAGGUCAACCACUCGAACAAAACACUGCCCCAUCUAUGAAUAAUCUUUUUGUUAGUUAAACAAAUCAGUAUUCAUAUAAUGAUAUAGAUUUAUACAUGUACAUGUUGCAUAUGUUGCAUUUUUUCUAUUUUCCCACCUGAAUGUGUAUUACCAUCUCAGAUUUAUUAUUUGCAAAGCUGUGAAAUUAUGCUGUUAAUAUCUUCAUCUUGUCAUUUGAAAAUUAUAUUCUGAUGGCUGUUAUUAUAUUAUAAUUGAUAUUUAGAUUUCUUUAUUUUAGAUUCACCUUUAUAUAAAGCUGGAUAGAUUUUUAAACAUAAUUUAUUUGUAUUGAUUAUGAAUUUUUACUUUCAAUUAUUGAAAGAUUUAUUUUAAAUGGAAAUAUUUCUUUUUACCUCAAAUAUUCUUUUUAUCGUUUAGAAAUUGUUUAAAUUCGAAACAACUUUCAUAACCAAAGUUAUACCAAAACAAUAUUUAUGAUUGAAAUUCGUAAAUUAGAUCAUAAUGAAUAGGGCAAAAGACAAUAGAAAAACCAAAGCUAUUAAAUUUUCAUUCUCUGAAUUUGAGGAAGGUGAAUUCAAUUAAUUACUUCUGGUCAGUUGGAGAAAGUUUGUACCCACUGUAGUUUUAAUAGCAUAAUACCAAGCUCCUUGUAUUAGAGUUUCUCUAUUUUUGGAAUAUUUUAUGUAGUAUUUACUGGUUAUAUUUUAGUUUUUUUCGAGGUACAAUCUUUUUCAACUGAUCACAAGAUAUUUUUUUAUCAAUUUAUAAACCAGCAUUUUCAUGCUUGUAAUCAAAGCUAUAAUAUUAAUUAUUAUAUAAAGUAUAAAUAUAUGGACAUAUACAUGUAUAAGUUUGUUUAUACACACUUCCUGAAUAAAUGUUUUUUAUCACCAUUUGUUUGAAAAAAUGAAUAUGAAAUUUAUGCUCAUAAUGACACACGUGUAUAUAAAUACAUUUUAUAAAACAUUUGGUAAAAAUUACAUAUUGAAAAAAAAUAUAUAUAAUAAAACAUGAAU